GACGAACGCUGGCGGCGUGCCUAAUACAUGCAAGUUGAGCGCUGAAGGUUGGUACUUGUACCAACUGGAUGAGCAGCGAACGGGUGAGUAACGCGUGGGGAAUCUGCCUUUGAGCGGGGGACAACAUUUGGAAACGAAUGCUAAUACCGCAUAAAAACUUUAAACACAAGUUUUAAGUUUGAAAGAUGCAAUUGCAUCACUCAAAGAUGAUCCCGCGUUGUAUUAGCUAGUUGGUGAGGUAAAGGCUCACCAAGGCGAUGAUACAUAGCCGACCUGAGAGGGUGAUCGGCCACAUUGGGACUGAGACACGGCCCAAACGCCUACGGGAGGCAGCAGUAGGGAAUCUUCGGCAAGGGACGAAAGUCUGACCGAGCAACGCCGCGUGAGGGAAGAAGGGUUUCGGAUCGUAAAACUCUGUUGGUAGAGAAGAACGUUGGUGAGAGUGGAAAGCUCAUCAAGUGACGGUAACUACCCAGAAAGGGACGGCUAACUACGUG
rnacentral:rRNA from 1 species